rnacentral:pre_miRNA from 1 species
AAACCGUUACCAUUACUGACUUUAGUAAUGGUAACGGUUCUG